UACAGUCCUGUAUGUGAACAAUUAACACAGCACGGUUUGUGUCAAAGUUGUCGUAGCAACCCUCAAAAGUCUGUCUUUAUUCUGGCAAGUAGAGUGGGGAACUGGGAAAGAAAAUACAGUCAUCUUAAAGAGAUAUGUUUUCAGUGUUGUGGAGCUAGAGAUGAACAACUGAGCUGUAUAUCACUGGAUUGUCCUGUUAUGUUUAAACUAGAGAAGUUAAAAACAAAUAUGGAAUAUGGAAUGACAUUAAGAAACUUUCAAAAAACAAUUGAAAAAGUUAUGGUCAGUCAGAGAUUUCCAUCUGGCGGUAUAGCAUCUGUAUUUUGGACAGUUAUUAUAAUUUGACCAUUUUUCCAGCUAUGAUCACCAACUUGAGUGUUAUAUCAGAAGUUUUACAAAAAAUAGAAAUGGCCCAGGAACGGACAAUUCUCAUCGUGCGCAAAUGUCCAACUCAAUCCUGGUAUCCGAUGCUGGCAAGAUUAAUAAUUCACCGACCCAUUCUCCUACCCAAAAACAAAAGCAACGUGAGCUUACCAUCCAAUAAAGCAAAAGAACAUCCACUCAAAGGGAGACUGAGUCUGAUAGCUUGUCUCUUAUCUGGAGAUCAUUAUCAAGUAAGGACAUUUCACCACAAGCUCAAGCAACAACAACUAAUUCCUGGCUGCCAAGAACACAAAAACAAUAUCAAGUUACCUUAACAAAAGGCAACUCUAUGUUAAUAAACGCAAUGCAGAUCCCCUUCAUCCAACUUUACAGGUAGUUCUAGACUUUCUACAGCACCUAUUUGAUCAAGAGAUGAGUUACAGUUGCAUAAACACUGUUCGAAGUAUGUUAUGUUCAUUCGUUAUUACUGAAGAGAAUUCUAUGAUUGGUACACAUUAUAUGGUUCAGAGAUUUAUAAAUGGAAUGUUCUAAUCUAGACCAGCACUACCAAGAUAUCAAGUGAACUGGGACACUUCCAUUGUUUUAGAGUAUAUAAAGAUACAUCCCGCAGUAGGAGACUUAAAUCUACAACAGCUUACUGAUAAGUUGGUAAUGCUCUGUGCAUUAGUCACAGGGCAGCGUGCCCAAUCACCUCACCUCAUGAACCUCUUAACUGUAAAUAAGGAAGAGGACUCAUACACCUUCUAUAUCGACCAACUUGUCAAACAGUCUGGACCAACACGCAUUCAACCUACUUUACAUUCACCAACUAUGUGUUGCCUCAGUCAUGGUAGAAUAGAUUUACGCACUGCUCCCAUUCGGGGUCUGGAGAAUCAACUAUUUCUUAGCACAAUUCGACCCUUUCAUAAAGUAUCAAAGUCAUCUAUAUCUCGUUAGAACUGUCAUGCAAGCUGCAGGAAUUGAUAUAGAAACGUUCAAACCACAUAGUACACGAGCCACAGCCACCAGUAAAGCGAAGCAAUGUGAUGUUUCAAUAAACUCUAUACUGAAAGCUGAAAGUUGGAAGACUGAUUGCGAUUUUCAUCGGUUUUACAAUAAGAACGUUGUGUCUCAACGUGGGGAUGCGGAGUUUGGGAAUGCCAUUCUUCAGCAUCCCAAUAAGACAGAUAUUGGAUGAGAAUUCUCUUUAGUUGAACUUGGCAGGGAGUUCACGACACAUAUACUUGCAUGUAUAGUGCAAGAGGAGGAAAUAUUUGAAUUCAUAUUUGUUACUAUUUCUGGGUAUGUUUGAUACAUCUCCAAUUAAAAUAUGUUUAUAACUUAAUGUCA